CACUUUUGCGUCCAUAGACGCUUGGCACUGUUGCAUCUCUCUCUCUCUCUCUCUCUCUCUCUCUCUCUCUCUCUCUCUCUUUCUGAAGUUGCUUCAUGGCAGCGUUUUUGAGUUCUUAAUCAAGGAGGAGAAGCCGAUUCAUCGAUGGAGGAUGGUUCAUUCGGGAAGAGAUGGAUGAAGAAGAUGAGAGUAAAGAGAUAGGCCGCUUGCCCAGUUGUUCUGACCCUUCAGCGCGGCCAAACCCAGACGAUGUUGAAACCAAUGUAGGUGCAGGUGCAAAUGCAGGUUCAUCGAGUGGAAAAACAAAGUUUGCAUCUAUGGAUCCUUUAUCGGAGUUAGUUUGGUCUCCACAGAACGGUCUGAGCUUAAGAUGCGCCGAUUGCAGCUUCACCCGAAAGAGAAAAUUGCUCUCUCCUGCCUCCUUUGGUAAUGGACCGAGCAACAUGGUAAUUCCUCAAAGAAGCAGAAGUAAUGAUGAGGCGGGGUUUCGUGUGAAUUUUCAGUUAAGAACCCGGGAUACCUUGGAUAGAAUGGAAGCUCGGGUGAACCAAGAUUCUUGGCCAAGUAAUGAAAUGGAUAGGCCUUCCUCAGGAACUGGUGGCUGUAUGGAGGACAUGAACACUGUCGUGUCUUUACCGGAUCAGCAGAUAGUUGAGAAGGAGGAUAUGUUAGAGUGCAAGAUGGAGAACAAAGAUGAAGUAGACAGCAAACAAGAAGUGACAGAUAAUCCAAUGGCGAUUGGAGGAAAGACUGAGACGCUGGUGAGUGAAACGUUGAGGGUGGGAGAUGCUUUAAACCGGGAUCGUGGUAUCAUGAGUAGAAUUGCAUCUCGUGAAGAGGAAGCGGGCAGAGAUAAGUUGAAAAGCGGUGACUGCUUGAACGUUUGUAAUAUCGAAAUUAUAGAAUCAACGGCUGAGAACGAUCUGCCUACGCUUGCUGGCCCACUUGAUAAGACUCUACAACGGGAUGAGUGUUGUCAAGACAAAGGGGUCCAAUUGCCAGAUGGGACAGAUGCUGGAAAGGCCACUCUCUUGAGGCGUCCACUGACUGAGAGCGGUUCCCGCAAAUAUCAAGCAAAGGGAAAAGGAAAAGAGAAAGAGAAAGCUCUCUCUGAUGUAAACAUUGAUGGAAGAACUCAGAAAGAUAUAGAUGAUGAUGGUGAUGAUGAUGCUGAGAGUUUUGGGAGCGUGGAAAGUUGUAACAGUGCCGGUUUGGUAACGAGGGGCAAGAGAAGAGCAAACUUCGAGGGGCAGAUGAUUGUGGGGAGCAAAAGGCUCAAAAUGCAAAUUCAAGAAUGUCAGGGGUCAACUUCGAAACUCAGGCAAGAUAGUUCCUUCAUGAACUGGAUAUCCAACAUGAUGAAGGGAUUCUGGAAAGCAAAUGAAGAAAAAGAAGAGGACCACUCUCCUGCCGGAGCUCUCACUGUCACAGAGACAGAUGAUCAUGUUAACAGGAACGAUGAUCAACAACACUAUACCGGUUUCCAAUCCUUUUUCCAGUCCAUAUAUUGCCCAAGGAGAAACAUUCAAGAUGCUUGUGUGAAUCUCUUGGAUGAGGAAUGUGAUACUGAUGCUGCCCCUUUAAGCUGCCGUGGGAAGUUGCUUCCAAACUUCCAGGAACAAGUUCUCGUUACCAAUGGGAAUCAUGUGUCAGUGUCUUCCGAGAACAAAAACUCAUGCAACCACGAGAGCUAUUCAGACAAAGACAGGAAAAGCUCUCCUCCCUCGGGUAACAAGUCUAAGCCGAACCGAGAUAAAACAUCAGACCCUGAACCUGAUGGAAAAGAAAUUCAAACUUUCGCCAAUAGGAACAGUGCUCUAAGAAGUUUAUGGAUAAGCAGGUUUUCUUCAAGAAACUCUUGUCUGCAAAGCAACGGACAUCAUGAUGGAAUUUCUUCAAUCAAUAUCAGAGUCCAGGAGGCAAAUGAAUCGGUUUCAGUUAUGGUUAAAACCCGUGAUUCCCAGGAAAUAACAAAGGAGGAUUGUGCCCGGGGCUAUGGUAACUCAAACUUGAUGCAGAAUAACCUGAAUCUCGUAGUUGCUUCCCCGAGAAUAGAAUCAUCGGAAGCAUUGGCUUCUCUGUUUGCAAGAAGACUGGGUGUGAUCAAACACAUCGUCCCAUUGGAUUUGGCCGGGAAAGUGGAGGGAUCGGUGGUGACCCUAACCUGUUUCUACUGCGGGAAAAAGGGUCAUCAUCUACGGGAUUGCUCAGAGGUAACCGAUAACGAGCUCAGAGAUCUACUUAUCCGAAACAUUAAUGCUCAGAACGGAAGAGAGAAGGCUUCUGGUGUAUGCAUUAGAUGUUUUCAGCUCAACCACUGGGCUGCCACAUGCCCGAAUGCUCCAUGGCGCAACUCAAGAGCCGAAGGAAACAAAAGUAGACAUCUCGAGGGGACAAUAGCCGGAAUGAUGGCUUCUACUUCCGGUCCGAAAUUCUCUGUUCAAGAUUCCGGUGACAAUCAAGCCAUAGAUGUACCAGAGGCAGUCUUUGACGCUGUCCGAGUUCUCCGCUUGUCCAGAACAGAUAUUCUCAAGUGGAUGAAUUCAAAGGUGUCUGGAUCGGAUCUUGAAGGGUUUUUCUUGCGGUUGAGGCUCGGGAAGUGGGAAGAAGGACUCGGAGGAACAGGGUACUACGUCGCCUGCAUAACCGGUAAUUACAGGGACAGUGGAAGAACAAAGUUCAGCAAGAAGGUCGGAGAACUCGAUCUCGGUUAAGGUCGGAAGGACGACUUGUUUGGUCGAGUCUCAGUAUAUCUCCAACCACGAUUUUCUUGAGGAGGAGCUGACGGCGUGGUGGCGGGCCACCGCUAAAAAUGGCGGCAGCGUUCCGUCGGAAGAGGAACUUCGUCGGAAAAUUCGACAGAGAAAAAUGUUAGGCUUCUAGCUUCUUAUUUAUUAGCAAGUUGUGUAUUAUUUGAUUAUAAAAAAAAAAGUUGUGUAUUAUAUAUUCAAAUUUAAUGAAGGCAAUUUAAAUUAAAAAUUUA